GUGUAGUCCUCAUCAUAGCAGUAGUAGAGCCAAUACAUCAAGGAGUGCCUGGCAUGUGAAAUGAGCGGGCAGUCUUGAACUAGAAAGCAUGCGCGGCUAGAGUCAUGCCAUGCGAAACGGUAAGUUCAUAUCAUUAGGAGCUAGCUAGAUGUGCAUGUGCACGUGUGCGGUGCCUGAGAUGCAGUCCGGGUCAAUGGCCGUGAAGUGAAUUUGUGGCAGGAGAAUAGGUCCUAGUGACUGUACUCUGCAUGGCUAUCUGCAUGUCGUUAUGCAUGCAAGGAGGUGCGGUGUGAGACUCGCUAGCCAUGGCUGUUAGCUAGGUGAGUGGUUAGUAUUUGCUUGGUCAUGAGUGGGUCAUCGUUGGUCUAUAUGUACUCAGUUCCAUUCAUUUGUAAAACAAGAGAGAAGGCAACAAUGUGUGUGUUUUGCUUCUCUGUAUUAUUCCUUGUCUCUGGUGUGUAUGUGCGUGAGGCACCAUUUCUGUGAGAGAUAGGAAUGGAAUUGAGUGAUUCAGUUCCAACAAUCAACACUAACAAUGUGAUCUGAACCGCUCCAAAAAAAAA